UAAUGAAGACGCAGGCCACGCUUCAACAUAUGGUAUAACUUAUUUUGCACAUAAAUCAAUCAUGAGUAAGCCUGUACAGUUCCAAUGGCAUGUCGCUCGAAUUCUUUGAUGGUUUUGGCCAGCUUCUGCAUGUUAUCAUCAUAAACAUAUGGGAGCUUAUCGUACCAGGUCACAUUGUUCUUGGCUGACGGAGGCACAAAUUCCCGGCAAAGUUCUCCGGGAACCGUAAUAGACUUGUGGUAGUGAUAAUAACGAAUCUUUGUUUCGGUCUUGUGCAAUGUCUUGCCAAUUACAUUCUCCGACAUGUGCACUCCAGUGGCAUAUGCAUUCUUUGCCUGAAUCGCGUACUUGCGGUCCCUCCGAAUCCCCGUUCUCGAUUCCCUGAAUAAUAGCUUCUCGAAUGCCCAUUCCCUGCUAUAGUCCUCACUGGAAUCAUUCAAACACAGCACACUGGA
rnacentral:misc_RNA from 1 species